rnacentral:rRNA from 1 species
GAUGAACGCUGGCGGCGUGCCUAAUACAUGCAAGUCGAGCGAACGGACGAGAAGCUUGCUUCUCUGAUGUUAGCGGCGGACGGGUGAGUAACACGUGGAUAACCUACCUAUAAGACUGGGAUAACUUCGGGAAACCGGAGCUAAUACCGGAUGAUAUUUUGAACCGCAUGGUUCAAAAGUGAAAGACGGUCUUGCUGUCACUUAUAGAUGGAUCCGCGCUGCAUUAGCUAGUUGGUAAGGUAACGGCUUACCAAGGCAACGAUGCAUAGCCGACCUGAGAGGGUGAUCGGCCACACUGGAACUGAGACACGGUCCAGACUCCUACGGGAGGCAGCAGUAGGGAAUCUUCCGCAAUGGGCGAAAGCCUGACGGAGCAACGCCGCGUGAGUGAUGAAGGUCUUCGGAUCGUAAAACUCUGUUAUUAGGGAAGAACAUAUGUGUAAGUAACUGUGCACAUCUUGACGGUACCUAAUCAUAAAGCCACGGCUAACUACGUG